rnacentral:rRNA from 1 species
AUUGAACGCUGGCGGCAGGCCUAACACAUGCAAGUCGAACGGUAACAGGGAUCAGCUUGCUGAUUCGCUGACGAGUGGCGGACGGGUGAGUAAUGUCUGGGAAACUGCCUGAUGGAGGGGGAUAACUACUGGAAACGGUAGCUAAUACCGCAUAACGUCGCAAGACCAAAGAGGGGGACCUUCGGGCCUCUUGCCAUCGGAUGUGCCCAGAUGGGAUUAGCUAGUAGGUGGGGUAACGGCUCACCUAGGCGACGAUCCCUAGCUGGUCUGAGAGGAUGACCAGCCACACUGGAACUGAGACACGGUCCAGACUCCUACGGGAGGCAGCAGUGGGGAAUAUUGCACAAAGGGCGCAAGCCUGAUGCAGCCAUGCCGCGUGUAUGAAGAAGGCCUUCGGGUUGUAAAGUACUUUCAGCGGGGAGGAAGGGAGUAAAGUUAAUACCUUUGCUCAUUGACGUUACCCGCAGAAGAAGCACCGGCUAUCUCCGUG